rnacentral:rRNA from 1 species
UUCCGGUUGAUCCUGCCGGAGGCUACCGCUAUUGGAGUUCGAUUAAGCCAUGCGAGUCGAGAGUCUUAGGGACUCGGCGUACCGCUCAGUAACACGUGGGUAACCUGCCCUAUGCUGGGGAAUAACCUCGGGAAACUGAGAAUAAUACCCCAUAGUUCACCACGCCUGGAACGGUGGGUGGAUGAAAGCUCCGGCGGCAUAGGAUGGGCCUGCGACGUAUCAGGUUGUAGGGGGUGUAACGUACCCUCUAGCCAUCAACGCGUACGGGUGUUGGGAGACAUAGCCCGGAGAUGGAUUCUGAGACACGAAUCCAGACCCUACGGGGUGCAGCAGGCGCGAAAACUUGGCAAUGCGAGCAAUCGUGACCAGGGAACUCCAAGUGGCUGGGGUAAUACCCAGUUUUUUCUUGACUCUUCAAAGGUCUUGGAAUAAGGGGUGGGUAAGGACGGUGCCAGCCGCCGCGGUAAUACCGGCGCCUCAAGUGGUAGUCGCUUUUAUUGGGCCUAAAACGUCCGUAGCCGGUCUGGUGCAUUCGUGGGUAAAUCAACCCGCUCAACGGGUUGAAUUCUGCGAGCACGGCCAGACUUGGGACCGGGAGAGGUGUGGGGUACUCUCAGGGUAGGGGUAAAAUCCUGUCAUCCUGAGAGGACCACCUGUUGCGAAGGCGCCACACUAGAACGGAUUCGACGGUCAGGGACGAAACCUAGGGGCACGAACCGGAUUAGA